ensembl:snoRNA
GGCUGUGGUGGUUUUCCUUCUGGUACAUUUGUUAAGUUUUUGAAUGAGCCUAACUCCACCACAUGUAUUACAUAGCAGCUGGCAAAGGCUUGAUGACAAAGAGAUCUCUCACAAGUCUUUCUCACAUCAGAGGCUGGCUCUCACAUAU